rnacentral:rRNA from 1 species
UACGGAGGGUGCAAGCGUUAUCCGGAUUCACUGGGUUUAAAGGGUGCGUAGGCGGAUCUGUAAGUCCGUGGUGAAAUCUCUGGGCUUAACCCGGAAACUGCCAUGGAUACUAUGUGUCUUGAAUGUUGUGGAGGUGAGCGGAAUAUGUCAUGUAGCGGUGAAAUGCUUAGAUAUGACAUAGAACACCAAUUGCGAAGGCAGCUCACUAAGCAAAUAUUGACGCUGAGGCACGAAAGCGUGGGGAUCAAACAGG